GACAGAGGGGGCAAGCGUUGCUCGGAAUUACUGGGCGUAAAGGGCGCGUAGGCGGGACGGCAAGUCGGUCGUGAAAUCCCUCGGCUCAACUGAGGUACGUCGAUCGAUACUGCCGUUCUUGAGGGUUGCAGAGGAGACUGGAAUUCCCGGUGUAGCGGUGAAAUGUGUAGAGAUCGGGAGGAACACCGGUGGCGAAGGCGGGUCUCUGGGCAACUCCUGACGCUGAGGCGCGAAAGCGUGGGGAGCAAACGGG
rnacentral:rRNA from 1 species